rnacentral:lncRNA from 1 species
UCUUGAUAGUACAGAUACGCUUCUGCACACGGGGUCGUGCACAGCGGACACGGGGGCGUGGUCAACUAAUGCAGACAAACUACAAUUAAUGAAGAAAGAAAAGGAGGAUGGACACGGGGCCUUGCCCAAUGGACACGGGGCCGUGCUCGAGCUGCUGUUCAGGCUAUAAAUAGGGGUGCUUUGCUCAUUUGCAAACCAUCCCUUGGCACACCACAUCACAACACCAUCAUCCACCACCAUCAUCCACCACCAUCACAACACCAUCAUCCACCACCAUCAUCACAACACCAUCAUCCACCACCAUCAUCCAUUGUCCAUCAUAGAGUGUGUGAGUCAUCUCGGGAUCCAAGAUUGAUCGUAAGAGUUCUUGACAAUCAAAGGCCAUGUUUGCCUAAGUCUCUUACAUCACUUGGUGAAGACAAGUGUUUAGUGUAAUACUUUUUAUUUUUAACUUUUCGCACUUUUUAUUUGGUUAUGUAUUAAUGACUUUAAUAACUAGUUUCUUAUGUUGAAGGUGGUUCUUCCUUAUCGUUUGUCCGUGGUGUCUAUAUGGAGAUAUGUUGGCUACCUGGUCGGGGGUUAAGGGAAGGUUUGUAAGAGUCUUGCCAUUGUUCAGUGUAUAGAUCUUGCAAAGGACCUAGGUCAAAUUUAGUAGGACCUCCUUCAAUACCCACCGGUAUUGGAUGGCGGGGGUCCGAACUCUUUGAUCCCCUUAUAAGCUAAACUACUAUUA